AAGCGUUGCGCAGGCGGUUAUGUAAGACAGAUGUGAAAUCCCCGGGCUCAACCUGGGAACUGCAUUAGUGACUGCAUAGCUGGAGUACGGCAGAGGGGGAUGGAAUUCCGCGUGUAGCAGUGAAAUGCGUAGAUAUGCGGAGGAACACCGAUGGCGAAGGCAAUCCCCUGGGCCUGUACUGACGCUCAUGCACGAAAGCGUGGGGAGCAAACAGGAUUAGAUACCCGUGU
rnacentral:rRNA from 1 species